CUGGGAAGUACAAGAUCAAGUUGCUGGCAGAUCUGGUGUCUGUAGUAACAAAUUGGAAGCACUUAUGUUAGAACUGAAGAGAAAAUAUGGAAAAACUUAAACAUGGCAAGAAAGAUGAAGCUCCCUUGACCCAGCCAUCUGGUCACCCAGGCUGCAAAUAAAGCAGAUGGGCCAUAAUAAAGCCACCAUUAUAAACAACCCAGUGAAUACUUUUUG
rnacentral:lncRNA from 1 species